rnacentral:rRNA from 1 species
UACGUAGGGGGCUAGCGUUGUCCGGAAUCAUUGGGCGUAAAGCGCGUGUAGGCGGUCCGGUAAGUCCGCUGUGAAAGUCGGGGGCUCAACCCUCGGAUGCCGGUGGAUACUGUCGGGCUUGAGUACGGAAGAGGCGAGUGGAAUUCCUGGUGUAGCGGUGAAAUGCGCAGAUAUCGGGAGGAACACCCGUAGCGAAGGCGGCACUCUGGGCCGGUACUGACGCUGAGGAGCGAAAGCGUGGGGAGCAAACAGG